rnacentral:ribozyme from 14 species
UUUUUUUUUUUUUUUUUUUUUUUUUUGGCGUGUGGAGCCGAAUGAUACAGACGGAAGAAAGAGGAGGAAAGGAGGAGCUGUCGGAGGAUGAAGGUGAGAGAAGAAAGAUGAAAGG